rnacentral:antisense_RNA from 1 species
CUGAGCCCGGAGCUGGAACUAGAAACUUUCUGUCAGUGUAACAUCUGCACCCAAUGGUGGUUGGGCUUCGGGUCACGUGACAACUUCUUUGUAGCUCCGGAAGAGGAUUGCGAAGUUUAGGUUUCGUGGAAGAAACCGAUAAUUGAGGGAAAAAAAUCAAGAUUUGGGGGAAUUACCUACAAAGAUGUAAGGUGUGUUAAUUUGGGCGCUUCUUGGAUUCUACCCUGAGGAGGAGGCGCGUGGUGAGAGGAGAGAUCUUGAUCUGCCGCUCGCUGAGGUUCAGCAGGUUGGCCAUCUCCACACGGCGAGGCCGGCACAGGUAGCGGUUAAAAUGGAACUCCUUCUCCAGCUCCACCAGCUGCGCGCUCGUGUACGCCGUCCGCGCCCGCUUGGACGCCGCCGACCCCGGGGGGCUCUUGUCCCCUCCCCCGCCGCCGCCGCCGCCACCGCCCCCGCUGCCACCACUGCCUCCGCCGCCGCCGCCACCACAGCCCUCUGCUGGAUCCGAGAGGGAGGGGUGGGAAGGGGAGAAAAUGAAAUAAAAGAUAAUUACUGAACACGCCGA